AGAGUUUGAUCCUGGCUCAGAACGAACGCUGGCGGCGUGCCUAACACAUGCAAGUCGAGCGAGAAGGUCUCCGCAAGGAGAUGAGUAAAGCGGCGAACGGGUGAGUAACACGUGGGCAACCUACCCUUCAGUUAGGAAUAACCCGUCGAAAGGCGGGCUAAUACCAGAUGAUGUCCCUUGAAGGCAUCUUCAGGGGACCAAAGGGGGCGAGCGCAAGCGGCUCCCGCUGAAGGAUGGGCCUGCGGCUGAUUAGCUAGUUGGUGAGGUGACGGCCCACCAAGGCUAAGACGGGUAGCUGGUCUGAGAGGAUGGUCAGCCACACUGGGACUGAGACACGGCCCAGAGUCCUACGGGAUGCAGCAGUCAGGAAUAUUGCGCAAUGGAGGAAACUCUGACGCAGCGACGCCGCGUGGGUGAUGAAGGCCUUCGGGUCGUAAAGCCCUGUCGGGAGGGAAGAAAAGCCUGCUGGCUAAUAUCCAGCGGGCCUUUGACGGUACCUUCAAAGGAAGCACCGGCUAACUCCGUGCCAGCAGCCGCGGUAAGACGGAGGGUGCGAGCGUUGUUCGGAUUGACUGGGCGUAAAGGGCGUGUAGGCGGUUGGUCAAGUCUGGUGUGAAAGCCCGGGGCUUAGCCCCGGAAGUGCGCUGGAAACUAGCCAACUUGAGCGCGAUAGAGGAGGGUGGAAUUCCUGGUGUAGCGGUGAAAUGCGUAGAUAUCAGGAGGAACACCGGCGGCGAAGGCGGCCCUCUGGGUCGUUGCUGACGCUGAGACGCGAAAGCGUGGGGAGCAAACA
rnacentral:rRNA from 1 species